rnacentral:rRNA from 1 species
UUUAAUGAGAACUCCGGAUUGGCCUCCUCUGCGCCACUCUGUGGUGCACUGCGUGGCCGAGAAGCUGUUCAAAUUUGAUCAUUUAGAGGAAGUAAAAGUCGUAACAAGGUUUCCGUAGGUGAACCUGCGGAAGGAUCAUUACUGUACCUUACGUGUGCUUAAUACACUGUGAACAACGAAGGGGCAACGUGUGCGUGCGGGAUUCUGCUGCUUCUGUAGACCCGCACGCGCACGAGAGUUACUUUUUUAGACGUACCUAUUGUAGCCGAAACGAGCGUAAAAUGUAAAAAGAGAAAACUGCUGACGGCGGAUCUCUUGGUUCGUGUAUCGAUGAAGAACGUAGCCAGUUGCGAAAAGUAAUGUGAAUUGCAGAAUGAAGUGAAUCAUCGAAUCUUUGAACGCAAAUUGCACUCUUUGGAAUUCCAUUGAGUAUGUCUGUCUGAGUGUCUUGACAAACCUUACACUCCGGUGUGGACUCGGGCUCCUGGUCCACGCAAGUGGACUCGCGCCUGCAAGACCCUACUCGGCAACGCUUGAGACAACAACGUUUGAUCUUAGACAAGCUCCGUCCGAGUCAAAAAUUCAACAUGGACCUCAGAUCAGGCAAGACUACCCGCUGAAUUUAAGCAUAUUAAUGAGCGGAGGAAAAGAAACUAACUA